GAACGCUGGCGGCAGGCUUAACACAUGCAAGUCGAGCGGAAACGAAGGUAGCUUGCUACCAGACGUCGAGCGGCGGACGGGUGAGUAAUGCUUAGGAAUCUACCGAGUAGUGGGGGAUAGCCAUUGGAAACGAUGAUUAAUACCGCAUAUAUCCUACGGGGGAAAGCAGGGGACCUUCGGGCCUUGCGCUAUUCGAUGAGCCUGAGUGAGAUUAGCUAGUUGGUGGGGUAAAGGCCUACCAAGGCGACGAUCUCUAGCUGGUCUGAGAGGAUGAUCAGCCACACUGGGACUGAGACACGGCCCAGACUCCUACGGGAGGCAGCAGUGGGGAAUAUUGCACAAUGGACGAAAGUCUGAUGCAGCCAUGCCGCGUGUGUGAAGAAGGCCUUCGGGUUGUAAAGCACUUUCAGCGAGGAGGAAAGGUCAGUAAGUAAUAUUUGCUGGCUGUGACGUUACUCGCAGAAGAAGCACCGGCUAAUUUAGUGCCAGCAGCCGCGGUAAUACUAAAGGUGCAAGCGUUAAUCGGAAUUACUGGGCGUAAAGCGCGCGUAGGUGGUUUGUUAAGUUGGGAUGUGAAAGCCCAGGGCUCAACCUUGGAACUGCAUUCAAAACUGACUCACUAGAGUACGAGAGAGGUUAGUGGAAUUUCCUGUGUAGCGGUGAAAUGCGUAGAGAUGGGAAGGAACACCAGUGGCGACGCGACUGACUGGCUCGAUACUGACACUG
rnacentral:rRNA from 1 species